GGUCAUAUCAAGAUGAAACACCGGUUCUCGUACGAUCAACGAAGUUAAGCAACGUCGAGCCUGGUCAGUAUUUAGAUGGGUCACCGCUUGGGAAUACCAGGUGCUGUAC